GACAGAGGUGCCGAGCGUUAGGCGGAAUCACUGGGCUUAAAGCGUGUGUAGGCGGAUUUUUAAGUACCUUGUGAAAUCCCAUGGCUUAACCAUGGAACUGACUGGGUAUACUGGAUAUCUUGAGCCAACUAGGGGCGUAACCCGGGAACAAAAUGGUGGAGCGGUGAAAUGCGUAGAUAUCAUUUGGAACGCCAAUGGUGAAAACAGGUAGCUGGGGUUGUGCUGACGCUGAGACACGAAAGCCAGGGGAGCGAACGGG
rnacentral:rRNA from 1 species